CAGUCGCCACGGUAAUACGUAGGGUGCGAGCGUUAAUCGGAAUUACUGGGCGUAAAGCGUGCGCAGGCGGUUCGUUAAGACAGAUGUGAAAUCCCCGGGCUUAACCUGGGAACUGCAUUUGUGACUGGCGAGCUAGAGUAUGGCAGAGGGGGGUAGAAUUCCACGUGUAGCAGUGAAAUGCGUAGAGAUGUGGAGGAAUACCGAUGGCGAAGGCAGCCCCCUGGGCCAAUACUGACGCUCAUGCACGAAAGCGUGGGGAGCAAACAGGAUUAGAGACCCCUGUAGUCCCUGUCUCUUAUAC
rnacentral:rRNA from 1 species